rnacentral:rRNA from 1 species
GGGAUAACAGUCCGAAAGGGCUGCUAAUACCGCAUACAUUCGAGGUUUCCAGAAAGCCUUGAAGAAACUUCCGGGGCGCGCGGAGGGGGCUGCGGCCCAUCAGGUAGUUGGUGCGGUAACGGCGCACCAAGCCAACGACGGGUAGGGGGCCUGAGAGGGUUACCCCCCACACUGGGACAGACACACGGCCCAGACUCCUACGGGAGGCAGCAGUAAGGGAUAUUGCGCAAUGGGCGAAAGCCUGACGCAGCAACGCCGCGUGGAGGAUGAAGGCUUUCGGGUUGUAAACUUCUUUUAUCAGGGACGAACAAGGACGGUACCUGAUGAAUCAGUCUCGGCUAACUACGUGCCAGCAGCCGCGGUAAAACGUAGGAGGCGAGCGUUAUCCGGAUUUACUGGGCUUAAAGGGUGUGCAGGCGGGUUGGUAAGUGGUGCAUGAAAGCCGCGCGCUCAACGUGCGGAGGCUGUGCCAGACUGCCAGUCUAGAGGGUGCUAGAGGGACGUGGAAUUCCGGGUGUAGUGGUGAAAUGCGUAGAGAUCCGGAGGAACACCAGAGGCGAAGGCGACGCCCUGGGGCAUACCUGACGCUCAGACACGACAGCAUGGGGAGCGAACGGGAUUAGAAACCCCGGUAGUCCAUGCCGUAAACGAUGGAUGCGAGGCGCUAGGCGGUUAAG